UUUCAUGACUUCCAUACAUAAUUUAUCACCUAGACCUUUAUAACAACAAACAUCUUCAUCCUUGGCCAUUUAAACAACCAUUCAUCAUCAAAUACUUACGCAUCAUUCUAUAGUAAAAUCAUAAUUACAAACAUACAAAAUAACUAAAUCCCUAUACAUGCCAUAACUCAAACGUGUUUCAUCAUAAAAUACCGAGCAGUUGUGGUUGAUAGUGUGGACGAUCUCCGACUUCUUUAGGAUCCUGGAAGUAGCUUGGCAAUACUAAAAGAGAAAGAGAAAUAAAAGAAGUAAGCAAAAAGCUUAGUAAGUGUAACACCCCUUACCCGUAUCCAACACCGGAAUAGGGUACGAGGCAUUACCAAAACACAUACACUUGUAAACGUAUUUAACCGAGUUAUAAAAUUUCAUCAAAAUUAAAACUUUCAAAAAUAAUUAACAUGUUUCUAUAACUUUUCACAAUAUAUCCUUAAAAUAUUAUAAUCAUAAUAAUUAGGGCCUGCGAGACCCGAUACAUACUCAUGCAAUUUAAUGCUUCAUUUCCAUUUCAUUCAAUUCGCAAUUUCUCAUGCUCAUAAUUUAAAUCAUAUCACUAGAAAUUUCCAUUUAAUUCACGUACAAUUCAAUGACAUCAAAUUCAAAACUAAUACGUAUUUACCAUUUAACUCAAUGUUUAUUGAUUAUACCAUUCAAUAACACAUUUAUGAAAUUCUCAAUUUAGCAAUGAAAAUAUUACUUUAGUUUGAAUAACAACAUCGUCCUGAUAUAAAUACACUACCACUUAUCCAUUUACUUUAAUUCUUUUGGGCCCAUUUGUCACUUACCAUCUUUAAUCAAAUUAGGGAACGGUCACGGAAAAUUGAGUACUUCACUUUCACUUUGCCAUAGUAUAACUAUGGUCUUACGUAUGAUCACUUAUCACUUGUCCCUGAUCAGAUAAGUGUAGCUAAAGCUAUCACUUAUCACUUUGUCUCUUGAUCAGAUAAGUAUAGCCGAAGCUAUCACUUAUCACUUUUCACUUGUCACUUGAUCAGAUAAGUGUAGCCGAAGCUAUCACUUAUCACUUUGUUACUUGAUCAGAUAAGUAUAGCCGAAGCUAUCACUUAUCACUUUAUCACUUGAUCAGAUAAGUAUAGCCGAAGCUAUUGCUUAUCACUUUCCACUUGUCACUUGAUCAGAUAAGUGUAGCUAAAGCUACCACUUAUCACUUUAUCACUUGAUCAGAAGUACUCAAAUCCGGCGUUCCGCUCAAUUUGAUCAUUUAUUCAUAUAUCAGGCUUACCAACAUGUGUUAAUUCAUAAACCAUUCAUGGUAUUAUUUCAUGCCAAAUCAUAUACUGAAUAUACCAUACACACAUACUAUGAAACUUUAUUUUCACACAUGAGCUUAAACCAUGACCAAUAAUGCACAAAAAUAAGCAUCAUUCAUAUUUCAUCGUUUAUGAGUUAUAAUCAAACAUAUGACCAUUUAUACACGAAUCAUUCAUAUAUUUCCCAAUUUUCCUCCUCCUCCUCUCCAUUCCACAUCCUUAAUGUGUAUAACACACUUAAACAACAUUAACCAUAAUUUCAAUAUUCACUAACAUGUAUAUUCAAAGCUGUUUAUCCGAGUCAGAGUCACUAAAUUAUUUUUAUCCGGAGCUACAGAGCUCCAAAUUAAGAUCCGUUAAUUUUCCCUGAAACUAGACUCACAUAUCUUCAUACCAUAAAAUUUUCAUAAUUUUUGGUUCAGCCAAAUAGUACAGUUUAUUCUUUAAAGUUUCCCCUGUUUCGCUGUCUGACAGUUCCGACCACUCUUCACUAAAAAUUAAUUAUCUCAUUGUACAGAAUUCGGAUGAUGUUUUAGCUUGUUUCUUCUAAAAAUAGACUCAUUAAAGAUUCUAACCAUAUAAACUAUAACUCAUAAUAAUUUCUGUACAAUUUUUAAUGAUUUUCCAAAGUCAGAACAGGGGAACCUGAAUUCAUUCUGACCUUGUCUCACAAAAUCUAUUAUAUCUCAUGAUUUACAAUUCCAUUGCUCACAUCAUUUCUUUUAUAAGAAACUAGACUCAAUAAGCUUUAAUUUCAUAUUUUAUUCAUCCUCUAAUUCAAUCUCUACAAUUUUUGGUGAUUUUUCAAAUUUACACUACUGCUGCUGUCCAAAACUGCUUUAGUGCAAAAUGUUGAUUUCCAUUUUGCCCCAAAUUUCACAGUUUAUACAAUUCGGUCCUUUCUCAAUUAACCCCUCAAUUAAUCUAAUUUUCUCAAUUAGUACUUUACUAGACAUUAUAAGUUGUUACACAACUAUUGAAAUUCAGAAUUUCCACAUAUAACUCUAUCUUCAAACUCUUUUACUAUUAGGUCCCAAACAUUCACUUUCUAUUCAAUUCUUUCAAUAAAAUCAGCAUAUGAACAAUUUAAAGCUCUAAUUUCAUGCUAAAUCAUCAUAUACUUCCAGCACAUAUUCAUAUCAACUUUCAACUUCUUUCAUAAAAUCAAAAACUAAUGAAUUUAACAAGUGGGCCUAGUUGUAAAAGUCAUAAAAAUACAAAAAUUUCAAGAAAUAGUCAAGAAUUGAACUUACUUGUAAUAAAAAUAUGAAGAACCAGCUUGAAGAAGCCCUUCCAUGGUGUUUUAGCUG
rnacentral:lncRNA from 1 species